ACAAAUCAGAACGGAAGUUGCAGAUUCAGAUCUCACACAAACAGGAUCAUAGCAUGAACUCUGUCAAGUGAAGCGACGGGGAUAAGAACUGAACAUGAUAGAGAGCCAUGACACAGAUCAAAGAAGCACCAUAACUAUUUCAUGAGGUAAUGAAACAAUGUGUUCCCACAGAACCAACGCAAGUUACAAGACGACAUGGUCUGAACAGCCGACUGUUACAGAGAACCAUCCUAGCCUAGGAGGAGGUGAACUUGGUGACUGCCUUGGUGCCCUCGGAGACGGCGUGCUUGGCGAGCUCGCCAGGGAGGACGAGGCGGACGGAGGUCUGGAUCUCCCGGGACGUGAUGGUGGGCUUCUUGUUGUAGCGCGCCAGCUUGGCGGACUCGCCGGCGAGCUUCUCGAAGAUGUCGUUGAUGAAGGAGUUCAUGAUGGACAUGGCCUUGGAGGAGAUGCCGAUGUCCGGGUGCACCUGCUUCAGCACCUUGAAGAUGUAGAUCUUGUACGUCUCCACGCUCUUCUUGGACUUCUUCUUCCCCUUCUUCUCACCGCCCUCCUUGGAAGCCGGCGGCCGCUUCUCGGCCUUGGUCUUCUUCGCUGUCGUCGUCUUCUCGGCCUUCUCCGCCACCGGCUUCUUCUCCGCCUUGGGGGCCAUGGAUGCCGCUGCUGCUGCUGCUUCGACGAGGAGAGGUGUGGUGUUUCGCUGGGAGGCAGAGGAGGAUUGGUGGGGAAUCGGCGGCGACGGCGCGGCAGAGUUUAUAGGAGGGGACAGCAGGCUCUGAUUGGUGGAGGGGUGCGUGCCACGGAUCGCUGUGUCCUCCAGUGGUUUAAUACGAUCUCAGCCGUCCGACGCUUUGCGCGAUGGGCGCCCCGGAUGCGCCUCGGCGCGGAUCACUGACGUGGCGAAGACAUGGGUUUCGGCCCACGCCCGCUGACGGAGGACCAAUUGGGCUUUUUCCGUGACGGCAAUUUUGAAUUCAACUGUUUUUCAACUUUUCCCUAAAAAAAACUGUUUUCCACUUGUUUUUCGAUCGUACUGUAUGUCUGAAAAAAAAACUGUUUUCCCUUCGACUUUUUCUGUGCUGGAUUUGGCCGAGGUCAUGGGCCUCUUGGGAACGGAUCCUCUAACAUCACGAAGGGAUGUCACGAAGCUACAGAGUAAAAUCCAGUGCAAAACAGAGAAGGAUGUCACGGUUACUGUAGCGCUAUGUACUGUAGACAGUUACUGUUCAUAGAAAAUAAAUCUGAAAUUGAUUUUAUUGCACCACUUGUAUUUGUAUCUAAUUUUUGUAAAUAUAUAUAGUAGAUUUGUAAUUUGUAAAUUAAUUCAAGUCAUUUUAGUCUUAAUCAUAUGGAUGUGAAAAAGGGAUGUCAGGGUACUGUAGCUUCCCUGACAUCCCUUCUUGAUGUUAGAGGAUCUUGUUCCGGGCCUCUCCGUGCAACUGGUUUGAAGGUGUGAUACGAGAAGAUGUGAUUAGCUAGCCAAGAUGGUGUUUAUGAUGUGUUGCUUUUCCAACUGCUUCAAAGGAUUACACAAGUAAUUCACAUCCCAGCACGCGUUGCGGUGCUGGUUCUGUCCCGGCACAGGUCUGUUGCCCUGCAAGGUGCUGUGAUCGAUUUUUGUUUUCACGCUUUGUCAAGUACUCCCCUGUAAAGAAAUAUAAAAGCGUUUAGAUCACUACUCUACGGAGGGAGUAUUGUUUGUCCCUCCGCAUCGUUUGCAACUGUGACAGGUUUCUCUGAUCAGUUUCUCUGCUCAAUCAAAUGUUUUGGAUGGACUGGAUGGAAUGAAGAUAUUAAGUUGAACGACCGAAGGAGCCCUGACCCUCGCGUCGCCUGACUGGGCGACUCGGGGGGGAACCCCUGCCGCCGCCGCCCGGCACCCCACCUCUCCCCCACCCCCGUGUCGCCACCGUCGGAGGGCCGGCCGGUAAAGCCUCACCGGGCCCUAUGAUGGUGGCGGUGGGGCCGUUUUUCUCUUCUCCGAGCCCUGGCCUCCCCUCCGCCCCUCCCCCGAGAUCCGGCCCCUGGCGGCGCCGGCGGCCUCCACCGGCGACGGCGACGGCCUUCCCCUGGUGGAUUCUUCCGCAGCAUGACGCUAGCUCAAGUGACCUCGCCCAGUUGGGCUCCUGAUGUUGGCUUGAACUACGUCGGUAUUUCCCCAAAGAGGAAGGGAUGAUGCAACACAGUAACGGUAGGUAUUUCCCUCAGUGAUGAGACCAAGGUUAUUGAAAUAGUAGGAGAACCACACAACACCACGUAAACAACACCUGCACACAAAGAACAAAUACUUGCAACCCGACGUAAGAGAGGGGUUGUCAAUCCCUCACGGGUAAAAUUGUAGUAGUUUGGAUUAAUAGAUCUCGCGGGAACGCGAGAUAAAAUAAAUAAAUAAAAGUUGCAGCAAGGUAUUUUUGGAUUAAUAGAUCUGAAAAUAAAAACAAAUAAAAAUAGAUCUCGAAGGCAAAUAUGAUUAAGAAGAGACCCGGGGCCCGUAGAUUUCACUAGUGGCUUCUCUCGAGAAAAAAUAUCAUAUGGCGGGUAAACAAAUUACAGUUGGGAAAUUGAUAGAACUUCAAAUAAUCAUGACGAUAUUCAGACAAUGAUCAUUAUAUAGGCAUCACGUCCAAGAUUAGUAGACCGACUCCUGCCUGCAUCUACUACUAUUACUCCACACAUCGACUGCUAUCCAGCAUGCAUCUAAUGUAUUAAGUUCAUGGAGAAACAGAGUAAUGCAAUAAGAACGAUGACAUGAUGUAGACAAGAUCUAUUUAUGUUGAAAUUGCCCCCACCUUGUUAUCCUUAAUAGCAACGAUACAUACGUGUCGGUUCCCCUUCUGUCACUGAGAUCAAGCACCGUAAGAUCAAACAUAUCACAAAGCACAUCUUCCCAUGGCAAGAAAAAUCGAUAUAGUUGGCCUAACUAGACCAAAGAUUCGAAGAAGAAAUACGAGGCUAUAAGUAAUCAUGGAUAUAAGAGAUCAAAAGACUCCAAUAACUUUCAUGGAUAAAAACAUAGAUCUGAUCAUAAACUCAAAGUUCAUCGGAUCCCAACAAACACACCGCAAAAAGAGUUACAUCAAAUAGAUCUCCAAAAGACCAUUGCAUUGAGAAUCAAGAGAGAGAGAGAGAGAGAGAAGCCAUCUAGCUACUAACUAUGGCCCGUAGGUCUACAAUGAACUACUCACGCAUCAGCGGAGAGCACCAAUGAGGAUGAUGAACCCCUCUGUAAUGGUGUCUAGAUUGGAUUUGGUGGUUCUGGAACUUGCGGCGGCUGGAAUUGAUUUUCGUCGACUCUCCUAGGGUCUCUGGAAUAUUGGGGUAUUUAUAGAGCAAAGAGGCGGUGCGGGAGGUGGCCGAGGUGGGCACAACCCACCUGGGCGUGCUGGGCCCCAGGCGCGCCCUGGUGGGUUGUGCUCCCCUCGGAGCUCCCCUCAGGUACUUCCUUGGCCCAACAGGUGUCUUCUGGUCCAGAAAAAAUCCAUAAAAAGUUUCGCUUUGUUUGGACUCCGUUUGAUAUUGAUUUCCUACGAUGUAAAAAAAACAAGCAGAAAAUAGCAACUGGCACUUGGCACUAUGUCAAUAGGUUAGUCCCAAAAAAUGAUAUAAAGUUGCUAUAAAAUGAUUGUAAAAUAUCCAAGAAUGAUAAUAUAACAGCAUGGAACAAUCAAAAAUUAUAGAUACGUUGGAGACGUAUCAGCAUCCCUAAGCUUACUUCCUGCUCAUCAUUGAGUAGGUAAACGAUAAAACCGAAUUUUUAAUGUGGAAUGCUGCCUAACAUGUUCAUCACAUAUUCUUUUCUUUGUAGCAUGGAUGUUUGGACUUUUAUAUGGUUUAAAGCAAUAGUCUAGUUUUGACAUGAAGACUUUAAUACUCAAGCAUAUCAACAAGCAAAUGUGUCUUUCAAAAUAUUAACACUAAAGCAAGUUAUCCCUAUCCCAUUAUGCUCAAUUAUUGAUCCAUUCGUGAAACACACUCGCAUAUUACUACACCCAAUGCUCAAGUACGAUCAUAGUGCCCCUUAGUUGGUGUUUUAUAGGAGAAGAUGGAGACUCAAGUAAAAUAAAAAUUGCAUAAAGUAAAUAGAAAGGCCUUUUGUGGAGGGAAGUAGGGAUUUCUAGAGGUGCCAGAGAUCAAAGCAAAAAAAUAGAGAUAAAACAUUUUGGGUGGCAUGCUUUUCCUGUCAACGAAAAUGAUCGAGUAGUUCCCAAUACUUUCCAUGCUAGAUAUAUCAUAGGCGGUUCCCAAACAGAAAAUAAAAUUUAUUCCUUUUUCCACCAUACUUCCACUUUCCAUGGCUAACCGUAUCCACGGGUGCCUUCCAUACCAACACUUUCCAAGGAAUUUAUUAUUUGACAACAUAAAGUAAAUUCAUUUUUUAUUUCGAGACUGGGCAUCCCUAAUACCUUUGUCGUACUCUCGUGCAAUGACAAGUGAAUAAACACUCAUCUUGAUAAUAACACGUCUAGCAUGGAAAUAUAUCAGCCACCCCUUUCCAUUUCAUGAGCGGUACGAGCACACAAAAGAGAAAUUUAUUUUGUAAUUUAGAGAUGACACAUAAAAAUUUGCUUAGAACGGCAAAAGAAUACCGCAUAUAGGUAGGUAUAGUGGACUCAUGUGGCAAAAAAACUGGUUUAAGGAUUUUGGAUGCACAAGUAGUGAUCAUACUUAGUACAAAUGAAGGCUAGCAAAAGAUUGGGAAGCAUCCAACCAAGACACGAAAAAUCUCAUAAGCGAGCAUUAAGCAUAACUAACACCGAAUAAUGCACCACAAGUAGGAUGUAAUUUCAUUGCAUAAGUAUUGACUUUCGUGCUUGCAUAGGGAAUCACAAACCUUAACACCAAUAAUCUUACUAAAGCAUAACUACUCAUCAACAUGACUCACAUAUCACUAUCAUCAUAUCUCAAAACUAUUACAAAGAAUCAAGUUUAUUUUGUCCAAUGAUCUUCAUGAAAGUUUUUAUUAUAUCCCUCUUGAAUAUCUAUCACUUUGGGACUAAUUUCAUAUGUUGCUUUUGAUAGCUCAAACAAGUCUAAGUGAAGAACAUGAUCAUAAAAAAAUUCUUCUCUCAAAAUAAUUGAAGUGAAGCAAGAGAGAAUUUAUUAAAAAAAUUACUAACUCUCAAAUAAAUCUAAGUGAAGCAUGAGAGCAUUUCUUCAAAAAAAGUAAAGCACACUGUGCUCAGAAAGAUAUAAGUGAAGCACUAAAGCAAUUCCAUAGCUCAUAAAGAUUUAAGUGAAGAAUAGAGAGCAAUUCUAACAAGUCAUAGCAUAAUUUUUGGCUCCCUCAACUAGGUGUGUCCAGCAAGGAUAGAUGACUUAAAACACAAAGCAAAACAAGCAAAGACUCAUAUCACACAAGGCGCUCCAAGCAGAACUCAUAAUAUGUGAUGAAUAAAAAUAUAGUUUCAAGUAAAAUACCGAUGGUUGUUAGAAGAAAGAGGGGAUGCCACUUGGGGGCAUCCCCAAGCUUAGUUGCUUGAUACUUCUUGAAUAUUAUCUUGGGAACAACUAACUAACAAUAGAGCAGCAUCGAUCAGCCACCAUGACAGGGAACAACCCAUCUAGGAGGAGGUGAACUUGGUGACGGCCUUGGUGCCCUCAGAGA
rnacentral:lncRNA from 1 species